rnacentral:lncRNA from 1 species
AAUUUUUAAGUUACAAAUUUUUUUUUUUAAUUUUGGACCUUCUUAGGGGCGGAAAUAUUCCCAUUUUCCUCCAUGGCUUCAGAACAAUAUUGUUUAGUAUCACAAUCUGAGUAUAUCCAAAAAUCAGUUUGGAUUUACUUUUUUUUUUCUUUCCUAACAUAAUUUUAAUUUACGAGUACAACAUUUUACUCGGGAAAUCCGACAACGCCGCUUGUGAUUUGAUCACCACCCCAGGCUCGGAUGGGAGAAUGCAUCUGCCGCCGUUUGCGAGCGUUUGGCGAGUGUCGCCCCUAAAUUCAGAUUUGCAUCAAAAUGGAGCUACUGAUGAGAACUUGCGGUUAGCGAAAACCAAAUACUUUGGCUUCGGAGCUUCUAGACAAUUGACAAUAAUCUACCAAGCGAAGUGAGGUUUUUCAUUUACUGUCUUAAACUCAAUGAUGUAUAAGUUGUAUAUGAUGUAUAAGUAGUAUAGGUAAAAUAUAUAUACUUUUCAAAUUGCCCGCCAAAUCCAGAGAACUGUCAAUUGUCUAGAAGCUCCGAAGCAAAGUAUUUGGUUUUCUCUAGACGCAAGUC